rnacentral:rRNA from 1 species
CCUACGGGGUGCAGCAGUGGGGAAUAUUGGACAAUGGGCGAAAGCCUGAUCCAGCCAUGCCGCGUGUGUGAAGAAGGCCUUCGGGUUGUAAAGCACUUUCAGUGGGGAAGAAAGCCUUGGGGCUAAUACCCUCGAGGAAGGACAUCACCCACAGAAGAAGCACCGGCUAACUCCGCGCCAGCAGCCGCGGUAAUACGGAGGGUGCGAGCGUUAAUCGGAAUUACUGGGCGUAAAGCGCGCGUAGGCGGUCUGAUAAGCCGGUUGUGAAAGCCCCGGGCUCAACCUGGGAACGGCAUCCGGAACUGUCAGGCUAGAGUGCAGGAGAGGAAGGUAGAAUUCCCGGUGUAGCGGUGAAAUGCGUAGAGAUCGGGAGGAAUACCAGUGGCGAAGGCGGCCUUCUGGACUGACACUGACGCUGAGGUGCGAAAGCGUGGGUAGCAAACAGGAUUAGAUACCCCUGUAGUC